rnacentral:rRNA from 1 species
CAGCCGCCGCGGUAAUACGUAGGUGGCAAGCGUUGUCCGGAAUUAUUGGGCGUAAAGGGCUCGCAGGCGGUUUCUUAAGUCUGAUGUGAAAGCCCCCGGCUCAACCGGGGAGGGUCAUUGGAAACCGGAAAACUUGAGUGCAGAAGAGGAGAGUGGAAUUCCACGUGUAGCGGUGAAAUGCGUAGAGAUGUGGAGGAACACCAGUGGCGAAGGCGACUCUCUGGUCUGUAACUGACGCUGAGGAGCGAAAGCGUGGGGAGCGAACAGGAUUAGAUACCCCUGUAGUCCCUGUCUCUUAUAC